rnacentral:rRNA from 1 species
UACGGGGGGAGCAAGCGUUGUUCGGAUUUACUGGGCGUAAAGGGCGCGUAGGCGGUCAGCACAAGUCAGUUGUGAAAUCUCCGAGCUUAACUCGGAAAGGUCAACUGAUACUGUGCGACUAGAGUGCAGAAGGGGCAACUGGAAUUCUUGGUGUAGCGGUGAAAUGCGUAGAUAUCAAGAGGAACACCUGCGGCGAAGGCGGGUUGCUGGGCUGACACUGACGCUGAGGAGCGAAAGCGUGGGGAGCAAACAGG